ensembl:miRNA mdo-mir-7398q mdo-mir-7398q
UGUGUAGAGGCGUGAAAGGUGCUGUGUUCUCUCUCAGCAAAUUUCUUGCCUUUUGCAGC